UGGGCGGAACAACCUGUGUACCUUAUCCAGUGGUUCAGUGGACUUCUGGUCCAUGGGCUUGAUGCUGCUGUGACUUAAAUCAAUAUGUUAAUACAUUAAUGCUUUGUGAGGGUUUGCGUUUUCCAUUCAACCUCUAGCAGAGAUAAUUAGCCAGAGAGAGAGAGAGAGAGAGAGAGAGAGAGGACUUUAUAUAUAUAUGUAUAUAUACAUGUAUAUACAUGUAGAGAAAUAACUGAGGACAUGGAAGGAGACGUGACCCAUGAGUCCCCCCGGCAAGCUGGGUGCGUGCGAAAAAGCCAGAACUGCAAGCAGUCCUGAGUGCUUUGGGCACUGAUCCAUGAAAUGUCUUCAGUAUAUUCAGAAUAAUGGGAACAUAAGGAAAUGUCCUUGUGCUGCUUUUGCGGUUCAAGGACGAAGCACGGCACGUUCUUAAGAAAGCCCAUUGUUUAUUGUAUAAUCAGUAAAAGCAUAUCUGGCUGCUUUGGUAUUUCUGGAAUGUUAAGAAAACAAGUCUUAAGAUGUAAACUUAGAUAAUGCUUAAAUAAAAGUCACCACAGCAGAACGAGACGGCGCUGUCAUUGCCUGAGAGAGCAGCAGCCCUCUACUGUUGUGUUUCUGCACAAUUCAUCUCGUGUGAUGAGCUUACUUUCAGCCCUGACAUAAGAAACUACAACAUUUGGCGCCCGAACAGGGACCUGAAGUCCGACGACGAUUGCAAGCCACCCGCCAUGUAAUAUCGCAACAAGCUGCCGUGUUCUCCUUGAUGCUGCACAAGCUGCAAAACAAAAAGGGGGAAAUGUAGAGAAAUAACUGAGGACGUGGAAGGAGACGUGACCCAUGAGUCCCCCCGGCAAGCUGGGUGCGUGCGAAAAAGCCAGAACUGCAAGCAGUCCUGAGUGCUUUGGGCACUGAUCCAUGAAAUGUCCUCAGUAUAAUCAGAAUAAUGGGAACACAAGGAAAUGUCCUUGUGCUGCUUUUGCGGUUCAAGGACGAAGCACGGCAUGUUCUUAAGAAAGCCCAUUAUUUAUUGUAUAAUCAGUAAAAGCAUAUCUGGCUGCUUUGGUGUUUCUGGAAUGUUAAGAAAACAAGUCUUAAGAUGUAAACUUAGAUAAUGCUUAAAUAAAAGUCACCACAGCAGGACGAGACGGCGCUGUUAUUGCCUGAGAGAGCAGCAGCCCUCUACUGCUGUGUUUCUGCACAAUU